rnacentral:tRNA from 1 species
GCGGGAUUGGUGUAAAUGGCAGCACAAGUGACUUCCAAUCAUUUAGUGCCGGUUCAACUCCGGUAUCUCGCUCA